rnacentral:lncRNA from 1 species
AAAAAAAAAAAAAAUGUUAAGUGCUGAAUUAUUAUAUAUGUUGAAAUUAUCAAUUGUAACAAAAUAGCUAAACUGAGGAUGAAAACAGGUAAAGGUGUGGGCUUUGUCAUGUUUGUUGUGUACAUAUGUGCGUGUGCACACACCCAUACACACAUGUACAUAUCUAGGUACAUACACAUAUCAGGAAAUAUGGGAAAUUUUGCACUAUGCUGGGGAGCUUUCAUUUUGAGUACUCUGUGGGCCUUAUUGCCCACCCUGGAGCUUUACAGGGGAGAACCCGAGUUGAGCCUCAUGUAUCAGUUAGGAAAACCCCACGCCACGUGGCCUAAACCAUAAGAAAAAAAUAUUAUCCGACUUAACAAGAGGUCCGCCAAGGUACAGGGGCUCAAAUGUGUCAUUAAAAUCCCAGUCAUAUACUGAAAUAUUAUUCAGUUCUAAAAAGGAAUGAAAUUCUGAUACAUACCAUAACAUGGGUGAACCUUGAAAACAUUAUGCUAAGUAAAAUAAGCCAGAUACAAAAGGACAAAUAUUAUAGGAUUCCACUUAUAUAAGGUAAAUUCACAGAGACAGAAAGAAUAGAGGUUACCAGGGGCUGAGGGCAGGGAGGAAUAUGGAGCUAUUGUUUAAUGGGUACAGAGUUUCUGUUUGGGGUUGUUGAAAACGUUCUGGAAAUGGGUAAUGGUGAUGACACACAACAUUGCGAAAUGUACUUAAUACCACUGAAUUGUACACUUAAAUAUGGCUAAAAUGAUAGAUUUUAUGUUAUAUAUAUUUUACCACAAUACAAGUUGAAUAUCCCUUAUCCAAAAUGCUUGGGACCAGAAGUGUUUUGGAUUUUGGAUUUUCAUAUUAGAGAUGCUCAACUUGUAAUUAAAAAAAAAAAGAAAAGGUAAAAAAACAAACCCAGGUUCUUUCCAUCUUUUUGCUCUUCCAUUCUCAGUGUUUCGGUUGAGCUCCCUUCCAAGGUGUAGCCUGGCUGCUCCAGUGUCCGACACUGUAUACAGACAUGACAGUGUCCAGCCUAAUAAGAUGAUAGGAGUGGUCCACCCAUAUGGAAAAAAUAAUUCAUCACUGCAUUAUUGAAAAUUGUUGAUACCCAGUAAUGAUAAAGAGCCAUCUGACUCCCAGCUGGUUCCAUUAUUUCAAAAUUCUCCCUACCCCUACCCUGAGUGGACACCUCCUAGCCUCCCUGCAUCCAAACAUCUUCCAACACCGUUUCUGAGUCAGACUACCUGGAUUUGAAUUCCACCUCUGUCCUCUGUAAGUGAUGUUCUUAAAAAGACACUUAAUUUUUUUGAGUUUUAAUGUCCUCAUCUAAAAAUAAAGAUCAUAAAUACCUCCCUGAAAGGUCAUUUUGAGGAUUUAAUGAGCUAGUGCCUCACAUAUAGCUACCAUAUCUAUGCUACUAGAACUAUUUUUUGUUGCCUACACACAUUCAAUAUGCAGCAUGGGUUGGCGGGCAGGACACAUAUGCAUUUUUACAUACCCACAAUCCUAUCCUUGGAAACCUCGCAACUUGUAGGGAAUAGAUUUUAAACAAAGACAAAGGAAGAUGCCAGGCCUUGUUCCCAUGUGCAGUACAGCCCCCAGUCAGGCACUGAAAAGCAGAGGAGCCCCCUUGAUCAGCAAGAGAUGUGUGAGCUGUUAAUGAUGAGUAUGAGUGCGGAGGAAGCUGGUGGCAUGAAGGAUGCAAGAGCAUGGUGCCAUGAUUCUAACAAGUAGAAAGUUGAGCCAUAAACUAGAAAAGCAGGAAAAUGGAGUCUAGGAGUGCCAGCUUUGAAGUCAGUUAGGAGGAAGAAUGGCUCAGACCUGGAUGCCUUCAGUGGAGUUUUGUUGC